UACCUGGUGAUCCUGCCAGUAGUCAUAUGCUUGUCUUAAAGAUUAAGCCAUGCAUGUCUAAGUAUAAGCAUUUAUACCGCGAGACUGCGAACGGCUCAUUAAAACAGUUAUGGUUUAUUUGAUGGUUCCUUUGCUACUUGGAUAACCGUAGUAAUUCUAGAGCUAAUACAUGCACGAAGGGGCGACUUACGAAGCCCUGUAUUUAUUAGAUUAAAGCCAACCACCUCCGGGUGUCCGUGGUGAAUCAUAGUAACUAAUCGGAUCGCCGGCUCUAUGCCAGCGACGUGUCAUUCAAAUUUCUGCCCUAUCAGCUUUAGAUGGUAGGAUAUGGGCCUACCAUGGCGGUGACGGGUAACGGAGAAUUAGGGUUCGAUUCCGGAGAGGGAGCCUGAGAAACGGCUACCACUUCUAAGGAAGGCAGCAGGCGCGCAAAUUACCCAAUCCUGACUCAGGGAGGUAGUGACAAGAAAUAACAAUAAACCGGCUUAUGCCGGUUUAAUUGGAAUGAGUACAAUUUAAACAUCUUAACGAGGAACAAUUGGAGGGCAAGUCUGGUGCCAGCAGCCGCGGUAAUUCCAGCUCCAAUAGCGUAUACUAAAGUUGUUGCAGUUAAAAAGCUCGUAGUUGGAUUUCUGUGGGGACGGAGCGGCCGGCCGCAACAUGCGGUUCGAGCUAGCGCUUUCCCUACAUCCUGCCGCGAACCGUGCUACCAUUAAUUUGGUGGCGCCGGGGAUCGGCUCGAUUACUUUGAGAAAAAUAGAGUGUUCAAAGCAGGCCACAUGCCUUUGAAUAAGUUAGCAUGGAAUAAUAACUAAGGACUUCGGUUCUAUUUUGUUGGUGUUUCGGGGACUGAAGUAAAUGAUUUGAUAGGGGACAGUUGGGGCGGGUCUGUAUUUCCAAAAGCGGAGAGGGUGGAAAUUUCUUAGGACCUUUCGGAAAGACAAACAGGCUGGCGAAAAGCGUUUCCGCAAGGAUGUUCCCCUUUUGAUCAAGAACGAAAAGUUGAGGGAAUCGAAGAACGAUCAGAUACCGUUCGUAGUCUCAACUAUAACUAUACCAGCUAGGGAUCCGGCCAACGUUAUUUCAUACCGACUUGGUCGCACCUUAUGAGAAAUCAAAGCAUCUGGGUUCCGGGGGGAGUAUGGUCGCAAGGCUGAAACUUAAAGGAAUUGACGGAAGGGCACCACCAGCCGUGGAGCCUGUGGCUUAAUCUGACUCAACACGGGAAAACUUACCAGGUCCAGACAUAGUAAGGAUUGACAGAUUGAUAGCUCUUUCUUGAUUCUGUGGGUGGUGGUGCAUGGCCGUUCUUAGUUGGUGGAGUGAUUUGUCUGGUUAAUUCCGUUAACGAACGAGACCCCAGCCUGCUAAAUAGCGCGCGUGAGCUUUGCUCGCGGCGAGCUUCUUAGAGGGACUAUGAUGCGCGAUAGCACAUGGAAGUUUGGGGCAAUAACAGGUCUGUGAUGCCCUUAGAUGUUCUGGGCCGCACACGGGCUACACUAGCGCCUGCAACGAGCAUAUCAGCUGGCCCGAGAGGGUCUUGGCUAAUCUUUUGAACCGGCGCCGUGCUUGGGAUUGACCUUUGCAAUUGUUGGUCAUGCAACGAGGAAUGCCUUGUAAACGCGAGUCAUCAGCUCGCAUUGAAUACGUCCCCGCCCUUUGUACACACCGCCCGUCGCUCCUACCGAUGAAUGUUCCGAUGAAAUUUUCGGAGAGUGCCUGUGAACUUGGCUCUGCCUUGCGAACGGGAAGCUCAAAGUCACUUAAAUCUGAACAUUUCGAGGAAGGAGAAGUCGUAACAAGGUUUCCGUAGGUGAACCUGCAGAAGGAUC
rnacentral:rRNA from 1 species